UGGCUCCCGCAUCGAUGAAGAACGCAGCGAAAUGCGAUAAGUAAUGUGAAUUGCAGAACUCAGUGAAUCAUCGAAUCUUUGAACGCAUCUUGCACUCCAUGGUAUUCCGUGGAGUAUGCCUGUCUGAGUGUCAUGAAACUCUCAACCCUCUUUCCUUUGUUUACCUUUGGAAUCUGGGCUUGGAUCAUGAGUGCCUGCUGGACCUGUGCAUCAGCUCACUCUAAAUGAAUCAGUGGUCUGCAUUCUUUGCCUCUGCAGAUAUCUGGCGUAAUAGAAUUUAUUCGCUGGACAUAUGUAGUUUAUGACAGAGUACUUGCUCACCAUCUACACAAACAUCUCUAAGUGUUUGGCCUCAGAUCAGGCAGGACUACCCGCUGA
rnacentral:misc_RNA from 1 species